AUUUGGUUGUGGUUUUAAAGCAUCUCCAGCUCCCGUCUUCCGUGUUCCAAUUCUCCAGAGCCCCCCUCUUCUCAUCUCUCUCAAUCUGUCUUCAUUCCCGAAUCGCUGCUUUGAGUCAGAGAUGAACGCUAUUCUUCAAAAUCCACCAUCGUACUACAUGGCCCGACAGGCACUUCAGCAACCGAGUUGGAGCUUAUUAUCAGGAGGCUCCCUUGUUUCAUUCACUAGAGGGCAUAAUUUGGUGGUGCGGCAGACAUCACGGCUUCGAUUACCUUCAACUUCACGCAAUCUAGUUGUGAAGGCAGUUGCUACUCCAAAUUCAGCUCUGGAAUUACCACUGACUGCAGAAAAUGUGGAAAGUGUAUUGGAUGAAGUCCGGCCAUAUCUCAUUUCUGAUGGGGGGAAUGUGGCAUUACAUGAGAUUGAUGGUAAUAUAGUGCGGUUAAAGCUACAAGGAGCAUGUGGGUCGUGUCCAAGCUCUGUCAUGACAAUGAAAAUGGGUAUUGAGCGUCGUUUAAUGGAAAAGAUCCCUGAAAUAGUUGCUGUGGAACCAGUUCCAGAUGAAGAAACAGGCCUUGAGCUGAAUGCAGAAAACAUAGAGAAGGUACUUGAAGAAAUUAGACCCUACUUAGUUGGGGCAGCAGGUGGUUCUCUAGAACUUGUUGCAAUCGAUGAGCCUAUAGUCAAAAUCCGGAUAACAGGCCCUGCUGCUGGAGUGAUGACUGUUAGAGUUGCUGUCACACAGAAAUUGCGUGAAAAAAUCCCUACCAUUGCAGCAGUUCAACUACUGUAAAAUAAGAAUCUCGUUCAACUUUGCAAGCUGGCUACUUGUACAAGCUCAUGUUGUAAUUAGUAGUAUCCACAGUUAAGGUAUCAGGUGCAUAACUUUAUCAAUGCUCAAGGCCUGCAGCCUCUAUACAUGGAAGAAAAACUGGAGAGGCUAUCCAACAGUAAGAAUGGUAAUUAACUUCUCUUAAAUACAUGGAAGAAAAACUGGAGAGGCUAUCCAACAGUAAGAAUGGCCAUGGCGUAUAUGGGUGCUUCAAGAUCGAGCUUUUUGGGAAGUACAUUUGGCUGUUGAAAUCCGUGCUAUCUCUAACAUGCCAAAUUUUCUUAUAAAGCUUGAUCAAUAUGAAAAAGCCAAUGGACUCGGUGUAUCGUAAGUACAAUCCUUCACAAGAAAAUGUCAGCAGUUGAAUUAUUCACUUCUAAUAUACUAUAAGAAGUUACCGUGAGCUUGUUUGGGAACUGAUGCUAGAAGUAGGGAUUUGUUAUACUAGAAAAAGGCAUUUCUAUCUGCUUGGUAUGGAGUGUUCCUGUCUGGUAUAGUUGUAGUUAUUCUUGUGCGAGGUUGGUCUUUUGUUUUUAGCGUGCAAGCAUUUGUAGUUCUUACUCUU